rnacentral:lncRNA from 1 species
GUCGUGUGCCAUCAUGCCCGGCCCUCUGAACCUCUUUUCAUUUCAGAAAGAAGAGGACUCCAGCGCAGGCACUGGAGACCCACCCCGGAAGAAGCCCACCCGGCUGGCCAUUGGUGAGCUAUCUGCCGGGACAGCCCUGAGCCUGAUCAGUGGCCUCAGAAGUCCGGGGGGACAAACUGGAGAGACGAUGACAAAUGGUAGCUGCCCUACUUUCUUCCGUAUUCUCUGCCCUACCCAGGUGUUGAAGGUGGGUUUGACCUCACCGAGGACAAGUUUGAAUAUGAUGAGGACGUGAAGAUUGUCAUUUUGCCAGAUUACCUGGAGAUCGCUCGGGAUGGGUUGGGGGGGCUUCCCGACAUUGUCAGAGAUCGGGUAUGCAUAUCUUACCACCCUUCUAGAGAUUGUAGGGCAGGAGGGGCUGCUGUGACAGUACUAACAAAACAGGAGACCACGGGUGACAGGGUGAGUGGG